UUUGGUAUAGAUCAUUAAUAUCUAAUGACAAUAAGGUCAAAGUUGAAGGCUUAGGCAUUAUUACAAGUCAAAUUCCAAGGCAAAUUAUUUAUUUGAUGACGUAUGGUCCAACUUAAAAUAAAGGAUAAGGGAUUUUCUGCUUUGUUUUGGAUAGAUUUAGGUUUCAAGUUUGUUUAUUUGUACAUGUUUUUACCUUCAAUUCUCCUU
rnacentral:lncRNA from 1 species